AGACCUCUUGCUGGCUGCCACAUCGGCACUGCCAACCGGUGGGGUGCAGCCCUGCUGAAGCCCCAGAGCUCAGCCCAGUGCUGGGCACAUAGUAGGCGCUCAGGAAAUGAUUGCUGAAUGUGGAAUGAAAGUCCCCAGCAGGCAAAAGGCUGUGACUUCUGUUAGUGGGGUGGUGGUCCUCUGGGGCGAGUGUAUGGAGAACUUCAAGGCCUCCUCCUGGCUGCCCAGGAAGUAGUGUCUUCUUUUGCAAGCUGGGGGAGGGGUUUAAAGAUGCUGGCGCUGCCCUCUAGCCGGCUGCUGGGGACAUCAAAGGAGAUUCGGGCUGUGGAAGGCUCCCUAGCGUCGGAGAUGGAGUUAGGAGAGGGCGCCAAAGGCGACGUGCCGGCCGCCAGCUCCAGGCCGAGCCCCGAGCGCCUGCAGGAACACGCCCCUUCACCCGGCGCGGGACGCAGAGCUGCGAGAGAAUCUUGUUCAGCGCGGACUCAACGCCAGGGCGCCGCCUAGAGGUUGGUCUCUGUCUCGGCCUCACCCGCCGGGAGACCACAGAGCUGCUUCCCCAGCCGCCCGCCGCCAGAAAUUGGAAAAAAAA
rnacentral:lncRNA from 1 species